UGCUAGUUCAGAUGUUGACAGUGUUUUGU
rnacentral:piRNA from 1 species